AAGUCUUUGCAGUGAUAGUAAAGCUAUAGAAAAGCAUAGAAGGGAAGUGAUACACAGUGGAACUUAGAAAGAAUUUCCGCUGUUUCGUUCGUGUACGGAUCUCUAAGAGGAGUGGGAGUUGUUGAACUGAAUUGGAAUACAUUACUAUCAAGAAAUGUCUGCUACUUCUAUGGAAAGUUUUGCAAUUUAUGGGCCUACUCAGAGAGGGAACAACUUAAAUGCAAAUAUUUCAAAGAACACAGAGGCAAAAAGAAACAACAAAUUAUUUUUAUACUGGUUGGACACGACAUUGCUUUAUGGUAUCCCACGUAUGGAAAGUAUGUAAGAAGUUCAAUCGUCUAAAGAGAUACCAAAAAACAACCAAUGUAUUUCUACUUAAUAACUACAAAGGGUACAACAAAAAAAAAAGAAAAUCACGACGGCGACGUCAUUGUGGAGGCCGACGGGUGGUGGCUUGCGGCAACCCGUCUUCUUGUAGAGCUGCUCGGCGCAAUCGUCGGAUAAUCAGGUCGAAUCUUCUAUGUCGCCAAUGCAGGAACUCCCGAGAAUCGGUGCUGGGCGCUGGUGAAUCCCGGUCGAUGUCUGGUUGGUGUUGAAGUUCGUACGGUGAUACGGCAGGUGUUGAUGCUGGCAUCCCAGCUCUUGCCCCGGGGAUGGUGAUUACGAGGAUGUCUCGUCCGCUUCCGUCCAAUAAAGUCAUUCGACCAUUCCAUCAGUAAACCGAAUUGGUUUUCUUCGAUUUCUUUGCGGGCGUCGUCCGGUAGCAUUUUGGUGUUCCGUCUUUUCUACUGACAAAUCGUCCUUGGACUCUGUUGGUGGAUUUUCGGACUCGUUAGUGUCGCGUGUGGAGUUGUCAUCGGAAAUUGGAGUGGAAUGACGCUGACUUGUAGCAUCGGCGCAUAUUUCAGCGGAUGGCAACUGAUUUUCUGUAUUUUGAUGAGAUGAAACGGCGACGUCCUCUUGGCUUAACUUUCGUUGACCCAUUUCUUGAGUCGGAAAAUUAGUGUCAAAUGGAAGGGCGUCACUGUCGAAGGUAUCGUCUGAAUUGUCACUGUCGGGUCCGAUUUCAUUUUCGAAGAUAUCGGUAGUCUGAGUCGCAAUCGAUUUGCGGAAUCGAUUUUCAAAAUCUAACGAGUUUUCAAUGGAUGGACAAUCUUCAGUCUUCCAAAGCGUAGUUUCGUACAAAGGUUUCAAACGAUUGACGUGGGUACGCUGGCAUACAUAGGAAUUAUCGGCUAUAUCUACUGUAUUAUUGGUAUGUACUUUUACAACUCUAUAAGGACCUUUAUAUUUCGAAGUGAAUUUCCUACUGUCACCUUCUUUAACUACACGAAUAUCUAAUAAAACUCUAUCUCCUACGA